rnacentral:rRNA from 1 species
ACGGGGUGCAGCAGGCGCGAAAACUUUACAAUGCGAGCAAUCGUGAUAAGGGAACUCCGAGUGCCUGUAAAAUCAGGCUGUCCGCCAGUGUAAAUAACUGGUGAAGAAAGGGCCGGGCAAGACCGGUGCCAGCCGCCGCGGUAAUACCGGCGGCUCGAGUGGUGGCCACUAUUACUGGGCUUAAAGCGUUCGUAGCUGGUCUGUUAAGUCUCUGGGGAAAUCUUCCGGCUUAACCGGAAGGCGUCUCAGGGAUACUGGCAGACUAGGGACCGGAAGAGGUGAGAGGUACUUCAGGGGUAGGAGUGAAAUCCUGUAAUCCUUGAGGGACCACCUGUGGCGAAGGCGUCUCACCAGGACGGCUCCGACAGUGAGGAACGAAAGCUGGGGGAGCAAACCGGAUUAGAUACCCGGGUAGUCCCAGCUGUAAACGAUGCACGUUAGGUGUAUCGGUGACCACGAGUCACCGAGGUGCCGAAGAGAAAUCGUGAAACGUGCCGCCUGGGAAGUACGGUCGCAAGGCUGAAACUUAAAGGAAUUGGCGGGGGAGCAC